rnacentral:rRNA from 1 species
ACGAACGCUGGCGGCGUGCUUCACACAUGCAAGUCGCACGGAAAGGCCCUGCUUUUGUGGGGUGCUCGAGUGGCGAACGGGUGAGUAACACGUGAGUAACCUGCCCUUGACUUUGGGAUGACUUCAGGAAACUGGGGCUAAUACCGGAUAGGAGCUCCUGCUGCAUGGUGGGGGUUGGAAAGUUUCGGCGGUUGGGGAUGGACUCGCGGCUUAUCAGCUUGUUGGUGGGGUAGUGGCUUACCAAGGCUUUGACGGGUAGCCGGCCUGAGAGGGUGACCGGCCACAUUGGGACUGAGAUACGGCCCAGACUCCUACGGGAGGCAGCAGUGGGGAAUAUUGCACAAUGGGCGGAAGCCUGAUGCAGCAACGCCGCGUGCGGGAUGACGGCCUUCGGGUUGUAAACCGCUUUCGCCUGUGACGAAGCGUGAGUGACGGUAAUGGGUAAAGAAGCACCGGCUAACUACGUG